UACGGGGGGGGCAAGCGUUGUUCGGAAUUACUGGGCGUAAAGGGCUCGUAGGCGGCCAACUAAGUCAGACGUGAAAUCCCUCAGCUUAACUGGGGAACUGCGUCUGAUACUGGAUGGCCUGAGUUCGGGAGAGGGAUGCGGAAUUCCAGGUGUAGCGGUGAAAUGCGUAGAUAUCUGGAGGAACACCGGUGGCGAAGGCGGCAUCCUGGACCGACACUGACGCUGAGGAGCGAAAGCCAGGGGAGCAAACGGG
rnacentral:rRNA from 1 species